GCCGAGGAAGAGCACCAGGGCGGGCGUCACGAAGAACGCGAUCUCCAGGUUGCGGCGGAGGUUCGAGCCCUUCCCACGGCG
rnacentral:tRNA from 2 species